GUGUGAGCAAGUGAAAUUGGAAAGAAACAGGCACAUGGGCAGCCACAGGGCAUUCGGGCUCUUUUGAAGUGCUGUGGUCUCAGCAAGGGAUGUUAGCCUGUGAGUCGAGCCUUUCUCAGUAAUGUUAAUCAUACAUGCUAGUUAUUUCUGCUAAAACGUGAUUUUAAAGCUCAAAUCUACUUAUGAAAUCAUACUAACACAUGGGAAAUCAUGCUUUCAUGGUCUGCUUUACUUAAAAAUAAGGAAGCAGGAAGGUAAUGUAGGACUGAGCAUUUCUUUAAGAUGUUUAAUGAAACCAUGCUUGGUGAUCCCGCCUGACAUGCAGCAUCUCAGGUGCUUAAGACAGAAGAACAGGAAAUCUAAACUAGUCACCACCGGGUGUUCUCUGAGCACAGGCUUUCCUCCUCCCCAUCUCCCAAGAGGAGGCACAGAGCUCCUGGGAUCACACUGACAAUCCCCCAUGUUCUGAGGCUCAACUGGACUGCGAUGCACAUAAGUGCAUAUACAUGUGAAGCAAUGUAACGCCUCUACUUUCCUUGCUUUGCAAGACCUUCUGCAGCCUGUCAAAAGAUUUCCUGAUGAUGACGGCACAAUGCAAAGUCACGGGUGUUCCCUGAGCAGUCUGCAGCAGUUCUUUCUAGCUCCAAAUUUUCAGAUAACCCACUUGCUCUAGAUUUCCUGAGGGAUCUGACAACAGCAAUGUGAAAGCUAGUAACAGCAAGCUUCCCCAGCCAACGGGCGGUGUGAGCUCUCAUCAUAGCCUGUCUCUGGCACGGUCAGCCAAGCCACCCCUAAGCCUAGAUCUGCACUGCACAUCCAAAUGGGCUUCUCUCCGCCUCCUGCCCAGCCCUCUCCGGCUCCCUGCACGCCGGACCCGCCCACCCGCAGAGUUCCUGGAUUUGCAAGUCUAGGCUGCACACGGGACCAACCUUCAUGUUAAGCGCGAAGAACAAGCCACACUGUCCCAACUUUGAGAACGCCGCAGAGUUUGGAGAAUCACAAAUGUAAAAUGAACCCGGAAGCACAGAGAGCAGAGUCCUGUCUAGCGGGGUCAUACAGAAAGAGAGAGAGAGAGAGAGAGACUACAUUUCCCAAAAGUCUACGCGAAGGACUACCCGGAACCAAAGAAGGCAAAGACUUUAAAGCGCAUGGAUUGUAUGUAACUGGAAUUAGGCUGCUUUUAAAAAUCCCAAACUUACAAAGGGCAUUUUGGGAAUAUGAGUCCAGCCUUUAACGGUAAUAUGUAUUAGAUUUACUUCUUACUCUGAUCAAUGCUGUGACUUAAAAAGCUCAGGGGUACCUAGAAUCUUAUGGGGGGCAGAAAAAAAAUCACAUUGAGUCAAUUUUACUUUAAAAUAACGGAGCAAGAAGCUACUUUAGGGCACACCACAAACUCUUUAGGAUAGUUUUUGAAACCAAGUUUCCUGGAAAUAUUCUGAAAUCUCAGCUACUCUGGGGUUUGAGACAGAAGAAUCACAAGUCUAUGUCCCAAAUUACACAGUACCAAAAGAGAUGGGGGCUACUCACUGGUGAAGCACUUGUCUGAAGUGAAGUAGGCCUUGGCUUAAUACCCAUUAUGACACUAAAUC
ensembl:antisense Zfp85os zinc finger protein 85, opposite strand